rnacentral:lncRNA from 1 species
AGUACAUUAUUUGAUAUCUGCCAUUAAUUUCAAAAGCAGUAAUCAUGUGACCAUUAUAAUCCAAUGAAUAUACUCAAUUAUCAAAGAUGCAAAAUUGUAUUUCAAUAAUAUUGCCCAGUUAGCAAUCACCUGCUGUUAUUGUAGCCCAAUGAGAUUGUUCAAAUAACAUAACUCUUCCAAGCUUACACUUUUAUAUAUAACAGAUUUUUUAAAUUUGGUUAAUUUUAGUAGCAUAGUUAAGCACUGGAACUAGAAGACAGAACGAUGUCAAUAGUAAUGGAGGGAGGAGAAUGCAAAAUCAAUUAUUGUGGAAAAUGACUGAAUAUAAACAAAAAUCAUCUGAUUUGUUACUUUUGUUGUUGUUUUUUAUAUUCUGUAAUUAUUAUUUUUAUAUUUGUGUAAAUAAAGGUGAAAAAUUUUUUAAUUUUUGGAAUUUAUAUAUUAGAAAUUGUUAAUUCAUGGAAAAUAUGUUUACUUUAUAUAUUUUUUAUAAACAAAAAUAACAAUUAUUACAGAAAAUGAAAGAUAUCAAAACAAAAAUUUAUUUAAAAAAUCAUUUCAGUUUUUGUGAUGUUAAUUAUAUAUUAAUGAAAAAAAAGACAAAAUUGCUAUUUAUUAAAUUAAAAAAAUUCAUUUUUGUUGCUCUCACUGCUUUGAUUGUUGAAGUUAUGCAUCUGAUAUGUUGCUUGUAUUCUUUAGGUCAGUGCUUCUCAAACUGUGUGUGUGGAGGGACCAGUUUUUUACAUUCCAGUUCACUCUGGACCAGUAUUUUUGUGUAAUUGAAUAAUAAUUUUAAAAUAGAGAGAAUGGAAUCAAAUAAUUUUUUUGUUUUUAGGCUGAAUUAAUAAAAAUUAUAUUGUUCAAAUCACAAUUAUUACUAUAUUCAGAACCAAAUAGAUUUUUUGUUUUUUCAUUUUUUUCUUUUUUGAGUAAAGUCAAGAAAACUUUGUUUUGUCACUUGUGAAUAAGGAUUAAAGAAGAGAGAUUUAAGAUAACUUCUAAAAUAAAUGCAUUUAUUCAGAAUUUGAGGUUAUGGUUAGCUGUUAUCAAUUAUCAUUUGGGAAGGAAUAGAAAAAUAUCUGACAAGUGCAUGCCCUCAAAAAUUGCAAUUUUAACAUUUAUAUUUAUACUAGAGCAAUUGCUUGUAUUUGUAGGUAAAUUGCCCACUGGAUCUAUCACAGCUCAUUGGUUAAUGGGAAGAGAUGGACAUGUAGAGAUUAAUGAAUGAACAUCUUUAUCACAGAUUUUAGUACAUGUUUUUCCAAACACCUGGUGGGAAAAAUGCAUUUCUAUUUUUGUUAUAAACCCUCAUCAGUUUCCUGUGAGCUUGGUGUUUUGGAAUUCUAGAAUAAUAACUUCAUGAGGUAUUGAAUAUUACAGAAAAUUAAUUUUAAUAAAAAAUAGUAUUGGUAUACAUAGAAAUAUGGUCUGUACUUUCAAAUAUGAAUUCUUGUUUAUAUAAUAUAAAAAAAUUAGAUCCUAUGAGAUUUCUAAGAUGGCGUUUUAUGUUUAGUAUUUAUUAUAUAUUUUAAUAUCACAGUACAUAUAUAUAACCCUUGUAUAACACAAUUUCUUAUAACACUGUGUUUUGUUCUAACAUAAUUAGGAAAUUGUAGAAACACUUUUAUAUGACAUAGUACUUUUACAAUAUUGUUUUUACUUAACACAUUUAAAAAAUUACAUUUUUUUUACAUUUUCUCUGCUACAUCACAAAACACUUUUAAUAUUUGUAAUUUCUUACUAUAGACACAAACAAAAAAAAUCAAUUCACUCAUGGGAAAUACUUUGUUAAAAUUAGUCAUAAAUGCAAUUUCAUUAGUUUGCUGUGAGAGAACAGUAUGCAGUCUAUAUUUUUAAUUUGAAAUUGAGUUACCGGUAAUUGUCAAUUGUAAUCAUUGAGUAUUUUGUGUUCCAAACAUUCACUUCUUAGAUAAAAAUAAGUUUUUAUUUUUCAAUAGAAGUGUUGAGAUC